rnacentral:misc_RNA from 1 species
UUCAACGCCAGCCAUUUGCCUGUAACGAUAACACUUCCAGAAAGGCCUGGUUAUCUAUGGCAGCCGUUGGUGGACACAGGCAAACCAGCACCAUUUGACUUCUUGACAGACGACGUUCCCGAGAGAGACACAGCAGCCAAACAAUAUUCUCAUUUUCUUGACGCGAACCAGUAUCCGAUGCUCAGUUAUUCAUCGAUUAUUCUUUUACUAUCAUCUGCUGAUGAUGCAUAGUUUUAUUCAACAAGUUAGGUGGAGGUAAAUCAUCUUCAGAUUUUGUUAUAUGCAGUGAGCUAGG